AAAUUAUAAACCUCAGAAUUACAAAGGAAAAUAAAGAAUAUUUGCUGCCAAACUGGUCACAGGGUGAGCUUCAUUCCCUGUACCUGAACAACAACAGAUAGACUGGGUACGUAUUCAUGGUUAAGAAAGAUCUAAUCAUCAGUAUCUUACCAAGGCAUGCCCUGAUUGUGCAACAGGCAAUGCAGGCUUAAUUCCAUUGGAGACCCAGGGAUCUUUGCACUGGUAAUGGAGGCAGAGGGUGCAGGAAGACAUGUCCCCAGGCUUUUUUCCACUGUGUCACUCAAGUCAUUCCCUCAGGGAGCAAAGUUUAUUCUUACAUUUUCCGAAUGCUAAUAAUAUUGCUCUUUCUGUUUUCCUUCAGACUCUUCCAUCACUAGUUGCAGUGCAAGAAUACAGGGCAGGGACCCAGAGGGAGGAGGUAGGACCAGUUCACAGAGCCACCCUUUCCAGUGACAGCACCUAAGUACCAUUAUCCCAUGUGGAAAUUGAGGGACCUGUGGAGAACACACUGACAUGGGCUGGUUUCCCAGCCUCGAGAAGUUGGCAUUGAAGCUGCAGACGUGACUAAAGCAGAGCCCACAGGAGCAGGGGGCAAAGAUAAGGCAGAUCAUGGGAGAGCUGUGACAGGGAUGGACUGGAGAACAGCUUUUCUUCCAUUGCACAGAGGCCAAACCCACCACACGCAGUUGCUCGCUGGUACAUCAGCAGAGCAGGAAAAUCAAUGCAAUCUGGUCAGGCUCUUAAAGGAGAAACCAGUCUGAAUGCCCUGUGUCACUCUUUUCUACCUUGAGCUCUAAGCAAGAGGAUAUCAAACGGAAAUAUGUUCAAAAGAGAAAGGCUAUAGUAAUACAGACAUCUCCUUCAGUGGGUUUAGCUGGCAUCGCAACAAUGUCAUGAGCAAGAAGAGAGUUGCCUCUGGCUUUUUCUCCCCCUCUUAUCACUUACAGUCAUCCACUCAAUUAAGUUUCCAAUGCUAUGCUUUCUAGUUUCCCAUUAUCCUCCCACACUCCCAGCAUCUUUAAUAUCACACAUUUAUUUCCACGCUACCUAGUGGUUUGUUACAACCACCUACCUGGAUGGCCUUAUCCCAA
rnacentral:lncRNA from 1 species